UGAUGAAAUCACCAUCUCCCAACGGUGGCU
rnacentral:sRNA from 1 species